ensembl:lncRNA SOX2-OT SOX2 overlapping transcript
GAAGCUGCCCAAGAAUGGAAAGGAAGAAAUAUAUCACAUCAUCUGUCUGUCCACAGGCUUUCCUUGGGGCUUAUGAAGUGAAUGAAGGAGGGAAGAAAGGAGAGACAGAGAAAAUAUGGAUUUCCUCAUGGUUGUGAUUCCUCUUCACUCUUUUGAAUUUGGAAGGAUGGCAUACACAUCUGAAAAAUACCACUACUUCCUUCAUUGGACUGCAAGGUAUUUCUGUUUGGAAAAGUAAUGGAGUCCAGUCAACUUCAUUGAUCGCCAAGGACUGUCAAAAUUAUAAAACUUGCUGUGGAGCUCUGACAUGCCAGAAGCCGCUAGAAAAAGAAGUUUGACAUUCAGAAACUUAUCAAGAGGUUCUACUCUUUGGAUAGAGACCAAAAUCAUACUUUGAAAAAGCCUGACAGGUUUCUUCGGAAAAGUGGCCAUCCAUGGAAUGAAUGAAAUGUUCUCUUUCUAUUCCACGCGGGUCCAAGCCUGUAGCCCCAAAUCGGAUAAUCUCUGCAGCUGAUAACAAGCAAAAGAGAAGCCAGGCAACAGCCAUAUUAAAGAAGAAAACAAUCAACUCUGAGAUCCAACUUAGAAAUAAUGUUUCAUUCAAGAUAAGGCUCGUGGCUUAGGAGAUUGUGACCUGGCUUGCAUCAUUCUAAGACUUCUAUCGUCUGUUUUCAAAACCCAAGGAGGACCUCCUUUUCUGUGUGAUAGUUCCUCAUGCUUUGCCAGCCACUGGGUCUUUAAGGAAGCUUGCCAAGAGUUCCCGGCUGGGAAGGACAGUUCGAGUUCAUCAUAGACAAUGAGCUGGCACCACAGUUUAAGUGACUCACCAACCUGGUUGCCCACUUCAAAAUGUCAAGAACCACACUAUCUAAUUGAAAGAACUGUGUUUUAGCAAAGUGUAAUUGGAUCGCCUGGCAAGAUCAUCUCAAACUAUGUCUCUGACCUUGCCUUUCAGUGGCUAUUUUGAGCACAAGAGGAGAAAGGAAAUGAUUCCUGAAUUAUAUCUUGUUUUUAAAAAUUAAGAUUAAUUAAUACUUGGUUUUAUGUUCAUUCCAUUGUAGGAACUUAGUGAUUAUUACAAAACAGUCAAAAUAGGUCAUAGCAAAAUGAACGUUUAAGAUUAGGUUAAAACAUUCCUCUGAAAUUUUAGUAUUCACUUUUGAAGUGUCAAUUACUAUAUUUCUGUAAUUUCUCAUUUUUUUCUUGGCUUAGAGUCAAGAUGAAAAAUGAUAUUUGAAUCAAAGACAUUGUUUUGUUAUAUAGCCACUCCUUUCUAAAAUGCAAAUCCACCCUCCCCUCACCAAUGCUUUAUUCUUUGUGCGCGCACACACACACACACACACACACACACACACACACACACACAGACAUACACAGAACCAGCACCCAAAUGGUAGAGGAGGUCCUUCCAAGACUUCUAGGACCUGGAUCAUGUAAGCAGUAGAUGAGAAAAUGAAGUAAGAGAUAUAGAGUAAUAACAAUAAAAGUCAAUGAUUUCAUUUUACAAAAAAGUCAUUGUGUAGUACUCAGAUAUUUUUAAGAGCAAGUAUUAUUAUGACUAAAGUAUAUUAUACUUCUAAAUUAUUAUGAUUCUCAUCUAAUUUCAAGCCACACAUAGGCGCCAUUUGAAAGCAUUUUGUGUUACAACCUAUCAACAAAAAUCAACUAAUAGUUUUAUAACGUGCAUAGGUUUACCCCAUGGGGAAUUAAAAUUUUUAUCUGCAAGUAUUUCUGUUGUUGUGAGACUUUAGGACAAGACAACAUUUGGUGUUAACAUAGAAGAAUAUUCUAUGGCUUUUUUAGCUUUAAAGUUCAUUACUCUAAAAUAAAGUACACGUGGUAUUUUUUUCUUCCUAGUGUUCUCUUAUUAUAUGUAGAGUAUUUUCGGUUGUUGUUUUUAACGUAUACAUUAUUUUUAUUAAGUCAUUUCAUAAAAGAUAAGAUAUAUACUAAUAGACCCUUGGUUUUCUCCUAAUUUAAUUAUUUCAAGUCAAGCAAAAUUGGGCAAUUUUCUUUCAGGAAAAAAAAAAUAUUGAGCAUGAUUUUGAGGUAAAACUGAUUAUUUACAGCAUCUUUUCUCUAAUAGGCUAACAUUUAUGAUGGAUCUUAUUUCAAAGUUGAUUAUUCUCAAAGAAAAGUGGAGAUAUUAGAAUUUCCGAGUAAAUUGCAUUGUUUUAAAAAGUACUUUAAUGCAUUGUUCACAUUGUUGCCAGCUAUUGACCAAAAAAGAGAAGAAGAAAAAAGAAAUAAAAAAAGCAGUAUCUGCUCCAAACGUCAAGUUUUGCAGUUUGAAAGAC